rnacentral:rRNA from 1 species
UGUAUGUACUUUACGAAUAAGGAUCGGCUAACUCCGUGCCAGCAGCCGCGGUAAUACGGAGGAUCCAAGCGUUAUCCGGAUUUAUUGGGUUUAAAGGGUGCGUAGGCGAACCCUUAAGUCAGUGGUGAAAGUUUGCGGCUCAACCGUAAAAUUGCCAUUGAAACUGAGGGUCUUGAGUGUAAAUGAGGUAGGCGGAAUGUGUUGUGUAGCGGUGAAAUGCUUAGAUAUAACACAGAACACCAAUUGCGAAGGCAGCUUACUGGGAUACAACUGACGCUGAGGCACGAAAGCGUGGGGAUCAAACAGGAUUAGAUACCCUGGUAGUCCACGCAGUAAACGAUGAAUACUAGCUGUAUGCGAUAUACUGUAUGCGGCACAGCGAAAGCGUUAAGUAUUCCACCUGGGGAGUACGUUCGCAAGAAUGAAACUCAAAGGAAUUGACGGGGGCCCGCACAAGCGGAGGAACAUGUGGUUUAAUUCGAUGAUACGCGAGGAACCUUACCCGGGCUCGAACGGUGCAUGAAUGAUUCAGAGAUGGAUUAGUCCUUCGGGACAUGUAUCGAGGUGCUGCAUGGUUGUCGUCAGCUCGUGCCGUGAGGUGUCGGCUUAAGUGCCAUAACGAGCGCAACCCUUGUCGUUAGUUACCAUCAAGUAAUGUUGGGGACUCUAGCGAGACUGCCACCGUAAGGUGUGAGGAAGGAGGGGAUGACGUCAAAUCAGCACGGCCCUUACGUCCGGGGCGACACACGUGUUACAAUGGUAGGUACAGAGGGCAGCUACCCAGUGAUGGGGUGCGAAUCUCAAAAACCUAUCUCAGUUCGGAUUGGAGUCUGCAACUCGACUCCAUGAAGUUGGAUUCGCUAGUAAUCGCGCAUCAGCCAUGGCGCGGUGAAUACGUUCCCGGGCCUUGCACACACCGCCCGU